rnacentral:tRNA from 1 species
GGGGUAUUUAAGUCAAAGAAGAAAGCUUCUAACUUUCGUCUAAGCGGUUGAAUUCCGUUUAUACCUCU